rnacentral:tRNA from 1 species
GCGGGCGUGGUUCAAUGGUAGAAUACCACCCUUCCAAGGUGAAGAUGGCAGUUCGAUUCUGCUCGCCCGCU